UACGUAGGGUGCAAGCGUUGUCCGGAAUUAUUGGGCGUAAAGAGCUCGUAGGCGGUUUGUUGCGUCGGCUGUGAAAUCCCGAGGCUCAACCUCGGGUCUGCAGUCGAUACGAGCAAACUAGAGUGUUGCAGGGGAGACUGGAAUUCCUGGUGUAGCGGUGAAAUGCGCAGAUAUCAGGAGGAACACCGGUGGCGAAGGCGGGUCUCUGGGCAACAACGUGACGCUGAGGCACGAAAGUGUGGGGAUCAAACAGG
rnacentral:rRNA from 1 species